UGGUAUAGCCUAGUGGUUAGGGUGUUGGGCUACAGCGCAGGUGACCAGUGUUCAAGUUCCUGAUCAG